rnacentral:rRNA from 1 species
AGCGAACGCUGGCGGCAGGCCUAACACAUGCAAGUCGAACGGUAACAGGCCGCAAGGUGCUGACGAGUGGCGAACGGGUGAGUAAUGCAUCGGAACGUGCCCAGUCGUGGGGGAUAACGCAGCGAAAGCUGCGCUAAUACCGCAUACGAUCUAUGGAUGAAAGCGGGGGACCGUAAGGCCUCGCGCGAUUGGAGCGGCCGAUGUCAGAUUAGGUAGUUGGUGGGGUAAAGGCUCACCAAGCCAACGAUCUGUAGCUGGUCUGAGAGGACGACCAGCCACACUGGGACUGAGCAACGGCCCAGACUCCUACGGGAGGCAGCAGUGGGGAAUUUUGGACAAUGGGCGCAAGCCUGAUCCAGCAAUGCCGCGUGCAGGAAGAAGGCCUUCGGGUUGUAAACUGCUUUUGUACGGAACGAAACGGUCCUGGUUAAUACCUGGGGCUAAUGACGGUACCGUAAGAAUAAGCACCGGCUAACUACGUGCCAGCCGCCGCUGUAAGAC